ensembl:piRNA 21ur-14443 ncRNA
UUCAACCAGUAGACAUUUAUU